rnacentral:rRNA from 1 species
UAACCUACGGGGGGCAGCAGUGGGGAAUAUUGGGCAAUGGGCGCAAGCCUGACCCAGCAACGCCGCGUGAAGGAAGAAGGCUUUCGGGUUGUAAACUUCUUUUCUGAGGGACGAAGGAAGUGACGGUACCUCAGGAAUAAGCCACGGCUAACUACGUGCCAGCAGCCGCGGUAAUACGUAGGUGGCAAGCGUUAUCCGGAUUUAUUGGGUGUAAAGGGCGUGUAGGCGGGAAUGCAAGUCAGAUGUGAAAACUAUGGGCUCAACCCAUAGCCUGCAUUUGAAACUGGAUUUCUUGAG